GCUGGUCUGGGGAGGGAGCACGAAAGGAUGAAUGAAAAGUCCGGAGCCGGAGCGCGCCCGGGCCAGAGCAGCGGCAGAGGCUGGGGAGGGAGCUAGGGAGGUGAGCUCUGCCCUGCUCGCCUUGGCUCGGCGGAGGCUGAGAUCCCGGCGGGCGCCUCCACCCCGGCGCCCGCUGAGCCCUGGCACCUCGAACCCAGGGCCAUGGCGUUCCGUGGGCGGGAACGUGCCGGGAGGACCGCGAGGGAGAGCACUGAUGGGCACACUGGGCUCGAUGUACAGCUUCCCACCACCCAGGAAGGAAGGAACUGGCCUGGAUUUUGGCAACCUCUUGCUUGUGGGAGGAAGGCCACGCCUUCUCAGGUGCAGGGGUGAAGUCUGA
ensembl:lncRNA